GAAAUGCGAUAAGUAGUGUGAAUUGCAGAAUUCAGUGAAUCAUCGAAUCUUUGAACGCACAUUGCGCCCCUUGGUAUUCCAUGGGGCAUGCCUGUUCGAGCGUCAUUUGUACCUUCAAGCUUUGCUUGGUGUUGGGUGUUUGUCUCGCCUCUGCGUGUAGACUCGCCUCAAAACAAUUGGCAGCCGGCGUAUUGAUUUCGGAGCGCAGUACAUCUCUCGCUUUGCACUCAUAACGACGACGUCCAAAAGUACAUUUUUACACUCUUGACCUCGGAUCAGGUAGGGAUACCCGCUGAACUUAAGC
rnacentral:misc_RNA from 1 species